UACGUAGGGGGCCAGCGUUGCUCGGAAUUACUGGGCGUAAAGGGUUCGUAGGCGGUGUGGCAAGUCGGAAGUGAAAUCUCUGGGCUUAACUCAGAGGCUGCUCCCGAAACUGCCGUGCUAGAGUGCGGGAGAGGCCAGUGGAAUUGCAGGUGUAGCGGUGAAAUGCGUAGAUAUCCGUAGGAACAUCCGAGGCGAAAGCGGCUCGCUGGAUCACAACUGACGCUGAGGGACGAAAGCUAGGGGAGCAAACAGG
rnacentral:rRNA from 1 species